AGAGUUUGAUCCUGGCUCAGAGUGAACGCUGGCGGCGUGCUUAACACAUGCAAGUCGAACGAGAACGGGUUAUAGUUUACUAUAACUGUCAGCUAAGUGGCGCACGGGUGAGUAAUAUAUAGGUAAUGUGCCCUAGAGAGGGGGAUAACAUUUGGAAACGAAUGCUAACACCCCAUAUGCCUUUAUCACAUAAGUGAGCAAGGGAAAUAUUUAUAGCUCUAGGAUCGGCCUGUACGGUAUCAGUUAGUUGGUGAGGUAAUGGCUCACCAAGACAAUGACGCCUAACUGGUUUGAGAGGAUGAUCAGUCACACUGGAACUGAGACACGGUCCAGACUCCUACGGGAGGCAGCAGUGGGGAAUAUUGCACAAUGGGGGAAACCCUGAUGCACCAACGCCGCGUGGAGGAUGACACAUUUCGGUGCGUAAACUCCUUUUAUAUAGGAAGAUAAUGACGGUACUAUAUGAAUAAGCGCCGGCUAACUCCGUGCCAGCAGCCGCGGUAAUACGGAGGGCGCAAGCGUUACUCGGAAUCACUGGGCGUAAAGAGCGUGUAGGCGGAUAAAUAAGUUUGAAGUGAAAUCCUAUGGCUCAACCAUAGAACUGCUUUGAAAACUGUUUAUCUAGAAUAUGGGAGAGGUAGAUGGAAUUUCUGGUGUAGGGGUAA
rnacentral:rRNA from 1 species